AAAAAAAGUCUUAAUUUUGGAGUUGUAAAAUAGAAUGUAUAUGAAAAACAUUUUUAUUUGUUUUGUUUUAGUAUAAGUUAUAGAAAAAAUUUUGUGAUUAACAGUGUAAUAGUACUGUAAAGGAAAGUUGAAAUAGUUGAAAUAAGGUAUUAUUUAAAAGAAAACUUUAUGUUGUACCUUGUGUAUCAGGGUUUAUUAAAAAUUUAUUAUGGAUUUAGUUUUCUCGAAACAAAAUGAGUUAAAAUUUUAUGUCAGUUAAUGUGGAAUAAUUAUUGAAAAUAAAGUUUUGGUAGUGAAAUGUUAUUCGUCUUUUGUGAUAUCUAGUUUCCUAAGAAGUGAAUUUAAUUCGUUUAAUUUUAGUAAUAAUUUAUUUUUGAUAAGUGUUUAUUGAAGUUGAGAAAGGUUUAAGGGGAUAAGCUCUUAAAUUUCUUAUAAUAGGGGUAUAAAAUAAUAAGUUGUAGGCUUUAAAGUAGCUAUCAUUCGAAAAGUGUUAUAAUUUGUUAUGUGAAGAUAAAAUUUUAUAUUUAUUUAAGAUUAUUAUUAGGAUUUAUUAGAUAAUGAUUAUUUAUUAGUAAUAAUGAUAAAAUUAGUAUAUAAAAUGUAUAGAGUUCAAUUGUAAUAUAAAUUUAUAAUAAGGAAUUAGGCAAAAAUUAAUGUUCGCCUGUUUAACAAAAACAUGUCUUUUUGAGUUGAAUUUAAAGUCGAACCUGCCCACUGAUAGUGAAUUGAAGGGCCGCGGUAUUUUGACCGUGCAAAGGUAGCAUAAUCAUUAGUCUUUUAAUUGAAGGCUCGUAUGAAUGGUUUGACGAGAUAUUAGCUGUCUCAUUAUAAUUGGUAGAAUUUAACUUUUAAGUGAAAAGGCUUAAAUUUUGGUGGAGGACGAGAAGACCCUAUAGAGCUUUAUAUAGAAUAUAGUAAAAUAAAUUUAGGGGUUGAUUUAUUAUAUUAUAUUAUAUAUUGUGUUGGGGUGACAUAAAGAUAUAAGUAACUCUUUAUUUUUAGAACAUAAAUUAAUGGUAUUUUGAUCCAGUAAUAUUGAUUGUAAGAAUAAGUUACCUUAGGGAUAACAGCGUAAUUAUUUUUGAGAGUUCUUAUCAAUAAAAAAGAUUGCGACCUCGAUGUUGGAUUAAGGAGUAUUAUUAGGUGUAGUCGUUUAAUAAAUAAGUCUGUUCGACUUUUAAAUCCUUACAUGAUCUGAGUUCAGACCGGUGUAAGCCAGGUCGGUUUCUAUCCUCGUUUAGAUAAAAUAUUUUAGUACGAAAGGACCAAAUAUUGAAAAUAAUUUUUAUUGUAGAUUAAAAUUAA
rnacentral:rRNA from 1 species